rnacentral:rRNA from 1 species
AUGGCCACCGCUGACGUCCAGAACCCAUCGGCCGCGCUGACGGAGGAGGCGCCCGCGGCGGAGACGCCAGUGGCCGCCGAGGAGGCCGCGAAGACGGAGGAGGUCCCCGCGCCGGCGGAGGCCGAAGUCGAGGCGCCUGCCCCCGUCGAGGUUGAGGAGACCAAGGAGGAGGCACCGGCAGCCGCUGAGACGGAGGAGACCAAGGAGCCCGAGCCAGCAGCUGCCGCCGAGCCGGAGGCCGAAGCGCCCAAAGAGCCAGAGGCGCCAGCCGUGGUCGAGACCAAGGAGGCUGUGGCAGAGGCAGAGCCGAGGAAACACCGGCUGCAGCGGAGGAGGCCCCAGCGGCCGCGGCAGAGGAGCCGGCCGCCGCCGUGGCCAGCGUCAGCGUGUGAGGCGCCGGCGCGCGCGGAGGAGGAGCUGGCUGGGUCAGCGUCCACGGCGGCGGUCAUGUGCUCCUACGUGGCACGGCGUGAUGCUUAG